UACGUAGGGGGCAAGCGUUAUCCGGAAUUACUGGGCGUAAAGGGUGCGUAGGUGGUUUCUUAAGUCUGAUGUGAAAGCCCACGGCUUAACCGUGGAGGGUCAUUGGAAACUGGUCGACUUGAGUGCAGAAGAGGGAAGUGGAAUUCCAUGUGUAGCGGUGAAAUGCGUAGAGAUAUGGAGGAACACCAGUGGCGAAGGCGGCUUCCUGGUCUGUAACUGACGCUGAGGCACGAAAGCGUGGGGAGCAAACAGGAUUAGAUACCCUGGUAGUCCCU
rnacentral:rRNA from 1 species